rnacentral:lncRNA from 1 species
AAGUGGACCGUGCUUUAAAGUUGUUAUGUAUUUAAGGGAGACCGUAGCCUUACAUAUACUUUGCUAGCGUCAAUUACUUCCGAAGAAACGUACGUUAAAGAGAGAGGGGGUGGAGAGAGGGAGAGGAGUCCUGGCUGUUCAGCUAGUUCUGCUGGAGCUCGGCUUCCCUGCGCCGGGUCCCGGUCUCCCCGCCCCCCUCCGGGCGUCGCGCGUCUCGCGGCUUCCCUCCCCUCUCAGCUGGAGAGAGAGCUUCGCCGUCCCUCCUGAGCCGGGGAGGGGAGGAGCGACGCGAAAAGGGGCGGAAGUGCAAACAAGAGCCCGAGGAGAGCGAGCGAGCUUCGGCUUGCCGUCUGCUCUCACACGCUCGCGAGUUUGCUGGGAGCGCCUGCGCGUCGUCGGUGUGCUGCUGCUGCUGCUGCUGCUGCCUGUGCGCCCUGAACUCCGCGCGCCUCGGAAUCUGUGCAGCCUCUCAGCCUUUCCAAAUCGAUGGGAAUGGAUAACAGCUUCUACGUAAGGCUCAGUUACAAUAUUUUAUCUCAUGUGGUGCUGAAACACUUCGCUUGAACUUUGAACAGCAGCAACAAAUCUACCAUUAAAAAAUGCCUUAGGCUUCAUAUGCAAAUAUUUCGCUUGCAAAAUGUUGGUUUGUGUUAUGUAACUUCUGCUAGCUACUGCUUUGUGUGCUUUAAGAGUUAGGUAGAAGAUUUCAAGGGCUGUUAUUCUUUUUACUGCAUUAACUUUAACACUUGCUGUAACUGUACAGUAGUGCUCAUAUGCACGCAUUUCUAAAUUCAUAAAGUCUGAGAAACCCUUUUUAAAAUGAAAAAUGAUACAAUCAUUCAUUUUAAGAAUGUAUUGUUAUAUUGAUUCCUUUUAUGCAGUUUUAAAAGGAAGUUGCUUUGACUAUUGGUCUAUAAAUUUAUUGGUUGUUUAAUAACAAUAACAAUACACUCAGAGAGCUGCAGAUACUUCACAGCAAGAAAGCCAGUGAUUAAGCAUUCAUAAUUAUUUACUAUCCUAACCUGAUAUGUGCUAAGGUACCUGCAUAUGUGUGCAGACCCCAAUUCCACGUUUUGCAGUAUCAUUUCGGCCUGAGCUUAGGGUAACAAUUGAAUAAACCUUGUGAUUUGUAAUUAUUGUGUAACAAUGCAAUUCUUGUUGCAUUGUAUCAUUUCGGCCUGAGUUUAGGGUAACAACUGAAUAACCCUUGUGAUUUGUAAUUACUGUGUAACACUUAAUGCAAUUCUUUAUUCUUUCAUCCGUGCUCAGAUGUUUCCUUUUGCUCACCUUAAGGCAGUGGAGAUAGAACCCUUCCUUAUCUUGGGGUGACACUAAACAUUUGGCUUAAUCCUCCAUGGUUUGACUGAAAACAAAUAAGUGGCAUUCAAGGCUUUGGAGAAGCUAGACAUCAGAGGUUCCAUCUUGAUGACUUGAGGGCGGUUGCAGAGUAGGAGGAAAUGGAACAGCGGCAACCUAGAAUCCUUUAUGUGCCAUGUUUUCAGUUCCAUUCUCUUGCGCCUGUAAAGCAUUUUUCCUUCAGAAGAGAGAGACUGAGGCAACACCCAGGGCUGAGUUCUGAGGGGACUCGGCCAUGGAAUCUAUUUUUGGAACUGGGCUGAGCAGGGUUCAUGUAUGGCAUUUUUCAGUGUGUACACAAAGCAUCUUGCAUGUAAACCUAAACACCAUAUGUGUAACAUAGGAAGCUUGCUAGGGGUACAUUUUGCUAGCAAAUUUGGACUUCUUCCCGUGUGUGUGUGUGUGUGUGUGUGUGUAAAGGACCCCUGACAGUUAAGUCCAGUUACGAACGACUCAGGGUUGCGGCACUCAUCUCGCUUUACUGGCCGAGGGAGCUGACGUUUGUCCACAGUUUUUCUGGGUCAUGUGGCCAGCAUGACUAAGCUGCUUCUGGAAACCAGAGCAGCGCACGGAAAUGCCGUUUACCUUCCCGCCGGAGCGGUACCUAUUUAUCUACUUACACUUUGACGUGCUUUUGAACUGCUAGGUUGGCAGGAGCU